rnacentral:rRNA from 1 species
UAAUACGUAGGGGGCGAGCGUUGUUCGGAUUUACUGGGCGUAAAGAGCGCGUAGGCGGUUCGAUAAGUCGGAGGUGAAAUCCCUCGGCUCAACCGAGGAUCCGCGUCCGAUACUGCCGAACUUGAGUGCAGGAGAGGAGAGCGGAAUUCCCAGUGUAGCGGUGAAAUGCGUAGAUAUUGGGAGGAACACCGGUGGCGAAGGCGGCUCUCUGGACUGUUACUGACGCUGAGGCGCGAAAGCUAGGGGAGCAAACGGGAUUAGAUACCCCGGUAGUCCUAGCCGUAAACGAUGGGCACUAGGUGUGGGAGGUAUCGACCCCUUCCGUGCCGAAGCUAACGCAUUAAGUGCCCCGCCUGGGGAGUACGGCCGCAAGGUUGAAACUUAAAUGAAUUGACGG